rnacentral:tRNA from 1 species
GGGUGAUUAGCUCAGCUGGGAGAGCACCUCCCUUACAAGGAGGGGGUCGGCGGUUC